GUGGUCUACUCUCAAAUGUGAGGAAGUAACAAAGGCACAUUGUCCUCCAGAUCUACUCCCUGCAUGUGUUCAGGUGGUGAAAUUGACUGUGGGAAAGCUUCAGUGGAUUGAUAUGAAUCACAAAGAGUAUAACAUAAGGGUACCAAGAAAAAUAUGCAGGUAAAAGAUAUUUGCCCUACUCUAGCCCUUUGGCCUAAUGAAGACCCUUUCUUUCCUGCAAGAAGUUUAAGAACUGAAUUCAUAUAAGGAAUUUUAAGAACAUCUCUCAAAAAGAUGAAACCCAC
rnacentral:lncRNA from 1 species